rnacentral:rRNA from 1 species
GCUCAGAUGAACGCUGGCGGCGUGCUUAACACAUGCAAGUCGAACGAUGAUCCGGUGCUUGCACCGGGGAUUAGUGGCGAACGGGUGAGUAACACGUGAGUAACCUGCCCUUAACUCUGGGAUAAGCCUGGGAAACUGGGUCUAAUACCGGAUAUGACUCCUCAUCGCAUGGUGGGGGGUGGAAAGCUUUAUUGUGGUUUUGGAUGGACUCGCGGCCUAUCAGCUUGUUGGUGAGGUAAUGGCUCACCAAGGCGACGACGGGUAGCCGGCCUGAGAGGGUGACCGGCCACACUGGGACUGAGACACGGCCCAGACUCCUACGGGAGGCAGCAGUGGGGAAUAUUGCACAAUGGGCGCAAGCCUGAUGCAGCGACGCCGCGUGAGGGAUGACGGCCUUCGGGUUGUAAACCUCUUUCAGUAGGGAAGAAGCGAAAGUGACGGUACCUGCAGAAGAAGCGCCGGCUAACUACGUGCCAGCAGCCGCGGUAAUACGUAGGGCGCAAGCGUUAUCCGGAAUUAUUGGGCGUAAAGAGCUCGUAGGCGGUUUGUCGCGUCUGCCGUGAAAGUCCGGGGCUCAACUCCGGAUCUGCGGUGGGUACGGGCAGACUAGAGUGAUGUAGGGGAGACUGGAAUUCCUGGUGUAGCGGUGAAAUGCGCAGAUAUCAGGAGGAACACCGAUGGCGAAGGCAGGUCUCUGGGCAUUAACUGACGCUGAGGAGCGAAAGCAUGGGGAGCGAACAGGAUUAGAUACCCUGGUAGUCCAUGCCGUAAACGUUGGGCACUAGGUGUGGGGGACAUUCCACGUUUUCCGCGCCGUAGCUAACGCAUUAAGUGCCCCGCCU